UCUUUUCUCUCUGUGUCUGCUGUCUCUGUCUCUCUCUCUGUCUCUCUCUCUCUCUCUAAGUAACUAACUACUAGCCCAUUGUUCCCGAAUGACAACGUGCUUUAACCUUAAAUGGAUACAAGCACAAAAAUAACUAAACAUUAAUUAAUAUGUUCCACUACGACUACCACGGCCAUCAUCACCCAUUCUUUUUACAAAAUCCUACAUCCGCUCAUGUAUACUAUAUCACCUUCCACCAAUUAUUAAACGUGAUGACCAACUUACUUGCUUUGAUUUUCCUUGAGAAGGUUUUCUUGUAGAACAUGCCCUUCACUUCAGAGCAUUUCCUGGAAUCGCGUAACUCGUUGACGAAAUACCCCCAACUGGGUCCUCUCGAACUGGGAUUUUCUCUGACGUCGUAGUCGUUGUCAAAGUCAUAUUCGAAAUUGUGGCGGACAGCGUUGGCAUUUGUGCCAAUUACGGAGAGAGCGACAAAGGUGCUUGAAGCGGGCUCUUGAAGAUUUCCUCCAGAUUUAAGUCCUUGAUAUUUAAAAAGUGUAAUCGCCUGGCCGUCUACUACGUAGAUUAGUAAUUCCAGUAAUACCCGAAGAUGUUCGGUGUUAAGUACAAGAAUCUGCAUGGCGGUAAUAUGACAUGCGAAUUUUCCGGGAAGAAAAACUUCUGUGACGAUUUCAGCGUGAUGAGGAUGGACUCCUGGAAACGCCGGUCGUACUUGUCUAUCUCGCUGGGAA